CUAGUAAUGGCAGGUCAGCAUACUGCCGUGAAUACGUUCCCGGGCCUUGUACACACCGCCCGUCACACCAUGGGAGUUUGUAACGCCCAAAGUCGGUGGCCUAACCUUUAUGGAGGGAGCCGCCUAAGGCGGGACAGAUNACUGGGGUGAAGUCGUAACAAGGUACC
rnacentral:rRNA from 1 species